rnacentral:pre_miRNA from 1 species
AGUAGGAUAGCUGGGUCAUAUGGUCUUUCCAUUUCAGGUUUUCUGAGGAAUUUCCAUACUGCUUUCCAUAGUUGUUAUACCAAUUUGCAAUCCCUCCAGCAAU